UGGGUAACCUGCCCCAGACACAGGGAUAACCCCGGGAAACCGGGGCUAAUACCGGAUACUCCGGUCGAACCGCAUGGCUCGAUCGGGAAAGCUCCGACGGUCUGGGAUGGGCCCGCGGCCUAUCAGCUUUGUUGGUGAGGUAAUGGCUCACCAAGGCGACGACGGGUAGCCGGCCUGAGAGGGUGACCGGCCACACUGGGACUGAGACACGGCCCAGACUCCGUACGGGAG
rnacentral:rRNA from 1 species